GGCUUCCUCCCGAUGGCCCUAACAGUCUUUCAGGCAAAAUCUUUAGCCCAACUUCUAUAUGGCUCUCAAAUUAGCCCCUCUGCCAACCUUAAGACCCUUGAAACAGUACAAUCUAAAUUCUUAAGAUCAUUAUUUGCUACUCCUAAGUGUACACCUAAUGCAGUUUUAAGGCAAGAGGCAGGACUGCCCAGAGUGGAAUUAAAAGUAUGGGAACAAGCAAUAUCCCUCUGGCUGAAAAUCCAUUACAAUCCUAAGGGUCUAUUACCUUGCUUCCUGGCCGCAGUUCCCUAUCCUCCUUGGCUUAUGCAAAUAACUAACAAGAUCAAACAAAUUGGCCUAAACCCUGAAAAUAUUUUUAUUGGAACUCUGAACAAGGCAAAAGCUACUAUCACUCGGAGACUUUAUGAUAUCGAAUUACAACAAGAAGGCGCCCUACUCCCAGAGACGUAUAGAUGUUUAAAAGCUUGGCCUAAUUUUGCAGCUGCCCCUACUUAACUAACAUCACUAACGAAACCUAUAGAUGGGCUUUCUCUAGAGCCCGCUUUGAGACAAUGCCCUCAGCAGUGCUGUACGGCAAAUUCACGCGAGUUCCAAUGCAUGCGCGUCUCUGCCCUUGUAUGUCUAAUAAGGUAGAAUCUGUCACACACAUUCUUCUAUCUUGCGAAUUCUAUAGUGAAGAACGAGUUCAACUUAUUUUACCGCUUCUAUCAAAAUUUAUACCCCUUCAAUAUUAUUUGGAAUCCUCCCCUGAAAUUCUUCGAAAAUACCUCCUGGAAGAUUCCUCAAGCUCAGUAUCAUAUGAGGUGGCUAAAUUUUGCACUUUAGUAAUUAAGAAGCGUAAAUCUCUUCUGUUGAAUGGCACACUGUGAAGUUCUCUUGUGUAACCUUUUUUCUUUUCUGAAGUUGUUGCUGAUUUUUUGUUGUCUGAUCUUAUGGUGUCUAGUGUCACUGGCUUUGGCCGCAAUAAACUUGAACUUGAACUUG
rnacentral:lncRNA from 1 species